rfam:Arabis alpina cultivar Pajares chromosome 3, whole genome shotgun sequence.
UUAAUGGAUUUUUUAAAAUCCAUGAUUCAAUAACAUAAGAUUUGAU